AAAUUUUAUUGUUUUAAAAAUGUUAUUAUGGCAUAAUAGUGAAAGAAAUUAACAUUUUUAUGUUAAAUUCAAGGUAUAGGUUAAAUUUUACUUAAACCUGGUUUUACAAAAUUGGUCAAAGUAAAAUUGGUGUUGAUAAAUCGUCUAUAUUGAUAUGAGUUUAUAUUGUUAUAAAAGGUUAUUUCUUUUAUUUAAUAUUAUGAAUGAACGUGUAAAAAGAUCAUCUAGGAGUGAUGUCUUUACAGUGUCACGACUUAAUAUAGAAAACCAAUAUUAUUUAAAUUCUUUUCUUCUAAUUACUAAUUUUUUAGUAAGUUUAUAAUUUUCACAUCAGUAAAUAAUAAAUAAUUUUUAAUUUUGUUUUAUUAAUAAAUAUAAAUGGUGAACUCGUUUUUCAGGAUCGAUUGUUUAUUAAAGACUUAGUCAUCUGAUGGAAGACCACCGGUGCCCAAUGCCUCAGCCUAAUGAGCCGGUUUAUGGCGGUCUUAACGUGCGGACUUUAAUGUAGCGUAGUGAUCUGCCUUUUAAUUGUAGGCUUUGUAUGAAUCCGGAUAACGAUUUGAAUAUUUACUUUUUUUAUUUUGAAGUUAAAUUUUCAUUAAGAAUUAUGAAAUGUAAUUAUACUAAGAUAAGUCUUUGGAAGUUUUAUAGUUUGUCUCUUUAUUCUUAAUAAUAUUAUAUUUCCUACUUUUUAUUUAAUUUUUAUAAUAUUUUUAGGGUAAUCACUUUUAUUACAUAGUUUUAGUUUAUAUUAAUUAAAUUAAAUUAAUUUGUAUAAUGGAAUAUAGUGAUGAACACGACGCCUUGGGUAGGAAUUUAAGUAAUGGUUUAUUAUCUAUUAUAUACUAACAGAAAAAGCUACUCCAGAGUUAACAGGACGAUUAACCCGUAGAAAAGUCGGGGAAGUGUUACAUCGAUGUUGUAUCUCUUUUGUAUGUUUUUGUAGGAUCGUAGCCGUUCCCAUAUAUUCGGACUGUUCCGCCGACAAUUAAGUAUCUCCAGAACGUGAUAUUAGUUUAAUUCGACGUAAGUCAGAGUGGUUUAACUAGAUAAUUACUUGUAAAAAUUGAGGGCUAGUACGAAAGGAUCGCACAUAGAAACUGAUGUUUAUUAAAAAGAUUUUUAAUUAUUUUUUGUUACAAUAAUUUUUAAAUAACGUUAAUUUAAUUAAUUUAAAAUUAUU
rnacentral:rRNA from 1 species